UGUUGUGAUAUAGUUUUGUAAAUAUUAAAAUUAUUUAAUUUCUGGCGGCUGUCAUUCACAAAUUAACAAAAUACCUAUUUACUUUUACUUACAUACGGCCUGAAGAAAACUAGAUUCUCAAAUGGUGAUGGCUACGAGCUUAACGUGUCGGCGGGAGAGCGCGGCUAGUUCGCCUCAUGAGGCAAUAGAGAUGCAACAGUUUAGUGAGGGUAGAGAAUCCAUGACGAUGCAUGAUCGCCUGGUAGCCUAUGUACAUGCAAUUGACAACCCACAUGACGGCGGCAGGUCGGACGUGUGGGUGGAGCACUCGUACGCGCGCGACGGGCGCGGCGCGGGCGCGGGCGGCGG